AUACUUACCUGGCAAGGAGCUACCGUGAUCAAGAAGGCGGUUCACCCAGGGCGGGCUCAGCCAUUGCACUCUGGCUGUGCUGGCCCCUGCGAAUUUCCCAAAUGGGAAUCUCAUAUGCAUAAUUUAUGGUAGUGGGGGACUGCUUCGCGCUCUCCCUGA